CUUCUAUCCAGUUUGCUACUUAACAUAAUUAUGUUCGAUGUUUGGGAUGUUAUUACUUGGUGGUUUGGCUAGUUCACAGUGGUGCACUAUUUGGUUUUCUGUUUCAUUUGAAAGCUAUGGUAUUGAACUCUAAAAUUUAUGUGUUCUUGAGCAUCUAUGGUUCUAAGUUUUAAAGAUGUGGGAUUUCUAACGUGAUGCAAAGGGUGGUGUUGGGAGAUUACCUUGGCUUGGUGAUUCCUCUUGGUUUACCGGGCUGCCCUCUCGCACAGCCACUGCCUUCCUCCCUCGUUACUCCUCCGUCACUUGUGGAUUUUUGGGGGUCGAAAAUGGUGGGGAGAGGAUGGAACUGGCUAUGUAUACAUGUAUAUAUAUAGGCUGAAAAUCUGCUUGGUUGUUGGGAUUUUGGCAGAGGGAUGUGUGCAGAGAGAAAUCUGCUCUCUUGGCUUCUUCUUGCUUAGACCUUAAUGGAGUUUGUCUUCUUGUUGCAGCUCCUGCGACCUUUUGGGAUUUGGUCAAUAUUUUGAUUAGGGACAACCCAGAUUUUGAUUAGGGACAACCCAGCUCUUCCUUGGCUCUUUGUUAACUACUUUUGACAUUUUGUGCAUAGGAGUGUUGUUAGCUAAACAGGUGACAAUCGGUUGAGGCCCUAUGUGGCUGAUCUUCAAGCUAUUGGGCCGAGUUUUGAGUGGGCCGAAGAAAAGACAUUUGGCUGGAUAAGAAGAGGCCCGAAAUCUAUAUACAUUUUUUUUGUAUAAUCUGAAACAUGUUCUUGAUCCAUUAUUUAUUUUGGGCUUAAGUUCUCUUGUACUAAACGAAAUUUGAAAAUACUCUUGACCAAUCCUAAAUGUCCAAUUCUCCUUUAA